GCUGUCCUCCUGCCUGCAGAAGUGGCUCUGUGAGCUGUUUGAGGAGAAAAUGGGGGACUUUGGGCUUCAGCCCGAGGAGAACAGGCUGGAGAUGGAGGAGCCCCUGGGCAUCCGCAGGUUAACUGAAAACAUGAGAAAACACAAGCACGGGACCAAGUCUGUCACUAACCUGUAAAGAACUCUCACCAAGCCGACUGGGCACUUUGUCUCAGCGCCUGCCUUUGCCACCACUGUGUGCGGGAAUGCCUGGGGCACGACUGGGCCAUCCCAGUGUUCUUAUGUCUAUACAUUCCGAGGUUACCCCUCAGCAAAAUGCCAGAGGCUGUCAGACACAGCGGAGCAUCCUGCAGUAGGGAUCCGAAGCCGUGGAAUCUCCAAAGGACCACUUGACCGCGUCCCAGAAUCUCCAGCUCAGGCCGGACAUUGCCCAGAAAGCCCACAUCGUCUUUGGGUGCCUUCCUAUCCUUCUGCUUCUUCCUUGGCCGCUUUAGGGGGCGCGCCUCGCCGUGGGUCUCCCUGCGGGUGGUGCAGUGGUGCUCCUGGAUGUCACCUCCAGGCGCUUUUGAGACUGCGGCAGGCACCGGGCACCAGGCACCUGCGGAUUGGCCUCCCCAGACCGGGCUCAGGAACCUCCAGCGCUCCGCGGUGCGGGCUGCAGGCGACCUCAACGUGGAGCUGCUGCCAGCACCACAGGCCCCAGGGAAGGCCCAGGAUGCUGCUUCCCUGCCCCAAGAAGGGUAGUUUGGAGGAAAGUCUUUGGCCUGAUGGAAGGCGGCGCCCAUCAGGGACGGGGCUGAGAACUAGGCUGGCGCCGCUGCCUGGUAAGCGGGGACCAAGAGGCCCACGGCCUCCAUCAGGAACCAGGUGCUUCUCCAAAUCCCGGAUUUCCAGGAGGAACAACGGCGUCAAGCUGGCUGACACCAGGAACACCCAGAAGUCCCCGCUCCUGUCUGUCCUUCCGCACUCAGGAGCGGGGAUGGCCACGGGGACACCAUCCGCCCACAAACCGCUGGCGUUUGCUGCCAUGGUGCGCGGAGAUGCGGUCCCCGAGGAGGCCACUUUCGGCCAGGACGCCGGGACCGUAUCAGCGGCAGCAUCCCGCGCUGACAC
rnacentral:lncRNA from 1 species